rnacentral:rRNA from 2 species
GAGCUAAUACACGCAUCAAAGCUCUGACCUCACGGGAAGAGCGCAUUUAUUAGAUCAAAACCAAUCGGGCUUUGCUCGUUUGUUUGAUGAAUCUGAAUAACUCUGCUGAUCGCAUGGUCUUUGCACUGGCGACAUAUCUUUCAAGUGUCUGCCUUAUCAACUUUCGAUGGUAGUUUAUAUGACUACCAUGGUUGUAACUGGUAGCGGAGAAUCAGGGUUCGACUCCGGAGAGGGAGCCCGAGAAACGGCUACCACAUCCAAGGAAGGCAGCAGGCGCGCAAAUUACCCACUCUCAGCACGAGGAGGUAGUGACGAAAAAUAACGAGAUGGUCCUCUUUGAGGCCCAUCAUCGGAAUGGGUACAAUCUAAACCCUUUAACGAGGAUCUAUUGAAGGGCAAGUCUGGUGCCAGCAGCCGCGGUAAUUCCAGCUUCAAUAGCAUAUACCAAAGUUGUUGUGGUUAAAAAGCUCGUAGUUGGAUCUAAAGCUUUGGAUGCCGGUCCCCACAGGGUGCGUACUGGUUUUCCUGGCCUAUCUCGUUGGUUAUCCCUUGGUGCUCUUAACCGGGUGUCUUGGGCGAUCAACAUGUUUACUUUGAAAAAAUUAGAGUGCUUAAAGCAGGCGAUUUAGCCUGAAUAGUGGUGCAUGGAAUAAUGGAAUAGGACCUCGCUUCUAUUUUGUUGGUUUUCGGAGCGCGAGGUAAUGAUUAAGAGGGACAGACGGGGGCAUUCGUACAGCGACGUUAGAGGUGAAAUUCUUGGAUCGUCGCAGGUAAUUCUGGAGCUAAUACAAUUCCAUCCUUUUGUAAAUCUAGAAUUUGAUCCAUCUCGCACUGCUCAUCAAAUGGCCCAAGCCCUAGUUCUGACCGUAAAA